GCCUGGGUGGCUCAGUCGGUUGAGCGUCCGACUUAGGCUCAGGUCAUGAUCUCGCAGUUUGUGAGUUCGAGCCCCACGUCGGGCU
rnacentral:tRNA from 1 species